UAGAGUAAGUGACAUGGAUCCUUACCUCAUUACAAAUGGUCGAAAUCAAAAUGGAGAUGCGUAAUGGUACUUCACAUGUCAACCUCAUAACUAGUUUUAUUAUUUUAUACUUUCAUUCUUUCAAUUUCAAACCCAUUUCAACAGGUGAGGUGGGAUGAAGAUGUUGGUAACAACAAUCAUAAAUGAAUUUCUCAAUGAGAGAUUAAUCUUUCGGGUGUAUCUGUCCCACUUUUAAGCAUUCAUCCUUCUCUAAGAUUCAAAAAAACUCUGGUCCUCUCCAACAUUAAAACCAAUAUUAAAAUUAAUGUAAACUGUUUUAAUCUUAUUUAUUAUACUAUUUGAACGUUUUUGCAACUGACACAGGUCCUCUGCAACAUUCAAGUCUUUACAAAACUGAUGCCUUCUCUUUUUGCUCCAAAUUUUGAAGACCUCUUUAUAAACACUUCAUAUGCAUAUCAAGUCAAAUUUCUAAAACUUGAGAUCCUUUCUUCCAUUGCUACAGAUGAAUCAAUCUCAGUUAUCUUUCAAGAAUUGCACAUAGUUUUAUUAAUAUAUUUUAAUAAAAGAUUGGAUUUGUAACAUCCGGAUUCCCAGGUAUUAUUUUAUUCUUUUAUUUUUGGGUGAUUGUGAGGAGACUCGGCGAGUUGGAGUCUAAACUCGCCGAGUAGGAUCGCGGUUUUGUGCGCAGGUUCGCGUAUGGACUCGGCGAGUCCAAAAGUGGAUUCAGCGAGUCCACGUUGUUUAAUGAAACCAUAAUUUCCAUGGCUUGAGACCUAUUUAAAGGGGCUUAUGACCGUCAUUUGCGGCCACCAACCCCAGAGAGAAACCCUAAAGAGAUUUUGAGCGUUUUGGGAGAGAGAAGAAGCCAUUGUUGAGCUUUAAAGCUUUGUUUGGCAAGGCAAAGGAGAUUCUAGCUAAGAGGAGGCAAGGGAGGUGGACAUCCUUCGAUUUUGGAGCUCAGAGCAUCAUUUUGGAGGUUUCUCUCAGGAUCAUGGAACAGCACCGGCUCGAUUGUACACACCAGAGAAAGAGUCAUGUUUUGAGGAUCCUGGUUUAUUAUGCAAGUGAAAAUGGAGUUAUGUUUUGUAAUUCGAUUACAAAUGAGAUUUUAAGAAAAGUGUUUUUAAGAAUUAAACGAUUAUUUUUAAAUGAAAAAUUGCUUUGAAA